UUUCCGUAGGUGAGUGAAGCCAACCUUAUUACUGCGUCCUGCGUGAAACCGUGCUAACUGUGAUCAAUAGGUGAACCUGCGGAAGGAUCAUUAUCGAGUUUGGUGCCAUUUCGGCACCCGCUCCCAUCCUUUGUGAACCCGUUAGAUGUUGCUUUGGCGGAUCGGCACCGCCCCCCGGCGUCUUGCUGGGGCGUGUCCGCUAGAGGCCUUUAAAACCUGUUCAACGUUGAAAAUCUGAGCAGACCAUUAAAAAAAAUCAAAACUUUCAACAACGGAUCUCUUGGUUCUGGCAUCGAUGAAGAACGCAGC
rnacentral:misc_RNA from 1 species